UUUUUUUUUUUUCUUGUUUCUCAAAGCAAGAAAGCGAUUUUUUUUAUUAGUGGGUGUUUUUUAUAAUUCAAGAAAAAGGUUGUUUUCAUUGCCAACCAUGACUGAGGUCCUCAAUCCCAACCAUUCGCCAACCCAUUUCUCUUCUUCUUCUUCUUCUUCUCCUACAAGAGUUUCUUCCUCGUCUUCUUCCUCUUCUUUUUCUCCUUUAUCAUUUGCAAAGCAACCUCAGAAUGAGGACAACAAUAACAACAACAACAACAACAUUAACAACAACAACAACUACAGCCUUUGUGAAUGUGAGUCAUUCUCUUCGCAUGUAGCAGAGGACGGAGAUUCUAUAGUGUCGGUGUUUGAGGAAGAAGAAGAAGAGGAAGAGGAAGAAGAGUGUGAGAGUCAGACAAGAGAUCAGCUUUCUUUGUUGGCAUUGCUGGUGGCCCUUUUCAGAAAAUCGUUGAUUGCUUGCAAGAGUGAUAGAAGGGAGCUUUGUGCCAUGGAGAUCGGGUGGCCCACUAAUGUGCGCCAUGUGGCGCAUGUUACCUUUGAUAGGUUCAAUGGCUUCUUGGGUUUGCCUGUGGAGUUUGAACCUGAGGUACCCAGAAGGCCUCCCAGUGCAAGUACUACCGUCUUUGGAGUUUCCACAGAAUCCAUGCAAUUGUCGUAUGACUCUCGAGGGAAUAGCGUGCCAACAAUUCUCUUGCUAAUGCAAAAACACUUGUAUGCUCUCGGAGGCUUGCAGGCAGAAGGGGUUUUCAGAAUUGCUGCAGACAACAGUCAAGAGGAGUAUGUCAGGGACCAAUUGAACACAGGAGUGGUACCAGAAGGCAUUGAUGUUCAUUGUUUGGCAGGGCUUAUCAAGGCUUGGUUUAGGGAACUCCCAACUGGGGUUCUGGAUCCUUUAUCACCUGAGCAGGUAAUGCAAUGCCAGACAGAAGAGGAUUAUGUUGAACUUGUGAGGCGUCUACCCCCAACUGAAGGUGCUCUAUUGGAUUGGGCCAUCAACCUGAUGACUGAUGUUGUUCAACAGGAACAUCUGAACAAGAUGGAUGCACGCAACAUUGCUAUGGUUUUUGCACCAAACAUGACUCAGAUGGCAGAUCCUUUGACUGCCUUGAUGUAUGCAGUCCAAGUGAUGAACUUCCUCAAGACCCUAAUCUUAAAAACACUCCGAGAAAGAAAAGAUUCUGCAGUGAAGCUUUACUCUGCUUCCUGUUUAGAGCCUUCUGAUGAGAAUGGACACCAGAGCCCUUCCCAAACCUGCUUGGAAGAUACUGCCCUAGAAAAUGAAGAGCCAGAGCAAGCAUUUGUUGCUGAAGAACCUGUUCCAGAAAUUUUCUUUGACACUAAUGAAAACAAUGAUCUUGCUAGUGGAGAAGCAGGCAGUCCAUUGACAUCUUCUGAGAAACUAAAUUCUGAUGAGCAUGGUUCUUGUGGGACUCUGAUUGGAGUUGACACUUACAUUAGCAAAAUAGAGGCCAGUGAAGUUGAUGGUGAAAUAUCUGGAAUUCAAGGUACUACUGAAAAGAGCAGGACUGGUCAAUCAAGUAAUUCAAAUUUCAAAUGGGGGCCAACUAAAAAAUGUGUUCAGCAACCUCUAGUUCCAGAAACAGGGCCAGUUGACAAGACUAAGGGAAUCAGCAAUCUGAGUCGCAUAGAUUCAAGGAUAGAGCGGAUCGAAGCCUGGAGGUGAAGGAAAGCUCAAGAGCAGUUGGGCCUAAUUCAUUGUAUGAUACUGUAUUUUAAAUGUAAGUUUGUUUGAUUUGGAAGUUGAAGAAAAGUUUGUGAAUUGUUCGUGUAUAUUGUCUCUGCUGCUUGGUGAUUUGCUUAACCUGAUCUGAUUUCAUGGAUGACCCUUCUGUAGAAUCUUGCUAACAUUGUUACUGGAGUUCCAUUGAUGUGAUUUCCUGUGUUUGCUUUUCAA